CAUGCAGUCGAGGGGUAGAGGAAGCUUGCUUCCUUGAGACCGGCGCACGGGUGCGUAACGCGUAUGCAAUCUACCUUGUACAGGGGAAUAGCCCAGAGAAAUUUGGAUUAAUGCCCCAUGGUAUUAUAUAGUGGCAUCACUUAAUAAUUAAAGUUCCAACGGUACAAGAUGAACAUGCGUCCCAUUAGUUAGUUGGUAAGGUAACGGCUUACCAAGACGAUGAUGGGUAGGGGUCCUGAGAGGGAGAUCCCCCACACUGGUACUGAGACACGGACCAGACUCCUACGGGAGGCAGCAGUGAGGAAUAUUGGGCAAUGGAGGCAACUCUGACCCAGCCAUGCCGCGUGCAGGAAGACGGUCCUAUGGAUUGUAAACUGCUUUUAUACGGGAAGAAACACCCCCUCGUGAGGGGGCUUGACGGUACCGUAAGAAUAAGGAUCGGCUAACUCCGUGCCAGCAGCCGCGGUAAUACGGAGGAUCCAAGCGUUAUCCGGAAUCAUUGGGUUUAAAGGGUCCGUAGGCGGCCUUAUAAGUCAGUGGUGAAAUCUCCUAGCUCAACUAGGAAACUGCCAUUGAUACUGUAGGGCUUGAAUUAUUAUGAAGUAACUAGAAUAUGUAGUGUAGCGGUGAAAUGCUUAGAUAUUACAUGGAAUACCAAUUGCGAAGGCAGGUUACUAAUAAUGGAUUGACGCUGAUGGACGAAAGCGUGGGUAGCGAACAGGAUUAGAUACCCUGGUAGUCCACGCCGUAAACGAUGGAUACUAGCUGUUGGGAGCAAUCUCAGUGGCUAAGCGAAAGUGAUAAGUAUCCCACCUGGGGAGUACGAACGCAAGUUUGAAACUCAAGGAAUUGACGGGGGCCCGCACAAGCGGUGGAGCAUGUGGUUUAAUUCGAUGAUACGCGAGGAACCUUACCAAGGCUUAAAUGUAGAUUGACAGGUUUGGAAACAGACUUUUCUUCGGACAUUUACAGUGCUGCAUGGUUGUCGUCAGCUCGUGCCGUGAGGUGUCAGUUAAGUCCUAUACGAGCGCAACYCCUGUUGUAGUUGCCAGCGAGUCAUGUCGGAA
rnacentral:rRNA from 1 species